CCUACGGGAGGCAGCAGUAGGGAAUCUUCCACAAUGGGCGAAAGCCUGAUGGAGCAACGCCGCGUGGGUGAAGAAGGUCUUCGGAUCGUAAAACCCUGUUGUUAGAGAAGAAAGUGCGUGAGAGUAACUGUUCACGUUUCGACGGUAUCUAACCAGAAAGCCACGGCUAACUACGUGCCAGCAGCCGCGGUAAUACGUAGGUGGCAAGCGUUAUCCGGAUUUAUUGGGCGUAAAGGGAGCGCAGGCGGUCUUUUAAGUCUGAUGUGAAAGCCUUCGGCUUAACCGGAGUAGUGCAUUGGAAACGGGGAGACUGGAGUGCAGAAGAGGAGAGUGGAACUCCAUGGGUAGCGGUGAAAUGCGUAGAUAUAUGGAAGAACACCAGUGGCGAAAGCGGCUCUCUGGUCUGUAACUGACGCUGAGGUUCGAAAGCGUGGGUAGCAAACAGGAUUAGAUACCCGAGUAGUC
rnacentral:rRNA from 1 species